rnacentral:rRNA from 1 species
CACGUAGGAGGCGAGCGUUAUCCGGAUUCACUGGGCGUAAAGCGCGUGCAGGCGGUUUGGUAAGUUGGGCGUGAAAGCUCCCGGCUCAACUGGGAGAGGUCGUUCAAUACUACCAAACUAGAGAGCAGAAGAGGAAGAUGGAAUUCCCGGUGUAGUGGUGAAAUGCGUAGAUAUCGGGAGGAACACCAGUGGCGAAGGCGAUCUUCUGGUCUGUUUCUGACGCUCAGACGCGACAGCUAGGGUAGUAAACGGG